rnacentral:lncRNA from 1 species
CAGGACUCUAGGGACAGAAGUGGUGGGGCAAAGGAAUCAAAGGUGGCUUCUUGGCUUGGAAAAGUGAGGACAGGAAUCCCCACAGCUGGGCUGACUUCGUGGGACAGAGAGCUUCAUCUGUCGGGUGCCGGAGCCUCUGGGCGGAGGAAGAAGAAACGGAUUCACAGGUCCAGUUCACCUGACACGGAAGCUGCAGAUUAAAAGAAAGUGCACAGUGAAGACACAAAGGCAGGAAGACCAGCAUCCCCAACAUCUCUUCACUGAAUACACCUCAACUCAGAGGGGAUGACUUGAAGCUAAGUUAAGUUCUGAGUCUCAUUUUGCCUUGGUUUAGGGUUCACUGUACGUUAGAUUGACACAUGAUAGGAACAUGUAUUUAUGAGAUGCGGCGAACAUCCAUAUGCACCGUGAUGAUCAAAGCAAGGUAAUUAGCACAUGGAUCACCUUUGAUGUGUUAAGAUGUGGAUGUAAAACUUUCUCAUGGGCUAAUGUAUUUGACCAUUUGGUCCUCGCCUGGUGGAGCUAAUUUGAGAGAUUGUAGAACUUUUGGGGUGCAGGGCUUAUCCACAGAAGAGGAAGAAGUUGGAAAGGUGGGCAUAAGAGGUUGGAAGGGAUCUCAUUUCUCUGAGCCUUAGGCAUGCCUCAGACAGGAACAGCAGGGACUCGGCUCUACGGUGCCCCCCUUUUAAGACAUGUAAUCCAGACAGCUCCCCUUUCUCCCCUUUCCUCUACGCUCCACACUGAAAAUGUUAUUGUACUAAAGAUGCAAAUGGAGCUAAAAUUAGUGUAACUCCACUCCCCCAAGGGUACCUACACCAUUUCCUGAAGCAAACGCAUUUACAUGAUUUUAUUCUAAGAAGAAAUAUUCACUCAACAUAAAAAAAUUAUUAAAUAGAUAAAGUGCCUCUUAAGCACAUGUUUCUGCCGCUCUCCAUUGUCUUUGUGAGCUCAGUGGCCAUUCAGCCGUUCUACUUUGUGAAUUUUGCUCUGGUUUCAGUGUGGUAGACAUGGAAAUAAUUUCAGCCAAAGAAAAGGCAGACACAGUGGUAUGGUUCAGGCCACAGGAGCCCCUUUACAGAUGAGCACACCCCACUGCUUCCUUAUCCAGCUGAUGUCUGAAUUAGACCACCUCAAUGCUGUACAAAAUAAUGUUUUAAAGUAGUAAAACUGUACAGGCAGAACUCACACAUGCUCAGACAUCAUGAUCUACAAGGAAGAUGGCUCAGGCCUCUGCCCUUUCACCAUGUGGAAAUGCCAGGAGUAGCGCCAUGUGCUUUGUGACAUUACUGUGACUGUUGUUCUUUCAUUUUGUGUGCAGCUGGUCUGUUGGGACUGUGUGGCCUUGGGGACAUAGUUAUGACAAUGUUGUGGUGGCUCCAGCCAAGCUGACCAAGGACUGGCUUCCCUGUUUUAAAUUGUGUUUUCU